AGGGACAGAUGAACAAGUCUUUUUCUGAGAUCAGCAAACAACUCUCCUCUCCUCCUUCCUAAACCACCCCCUUCCCGCUCACCCCCCCCAACCCCCGCCCAUGCUACGCUGUGGAGAAGGAGGAAGUUUUGAGUAGGCAUCCAAAGUCAACAGGAGUCUCAAGGGGAGAAACACGAAACCUCAUGAAACUCUAUGCAGGAAAACACCUGACCAGAAGACAAGGUUAUUGUCAGGUCCAGAGGAAACCCCACUUCCCCAAAUUCCAAAAGGCAGCACCCAGAAAUGACCGUCUUGACUCAGGGUCUGCUGAAGUAUAGGAUUACUGAAGGAUACUGCCAGCGUUCCUGAGGAACCCAUGAAAGAGUUUCUGUCCACCAGAAAGAGGGCCAGAUAUCGAUCUCCUGCAGCUCCUCCUGGUGGAUCUUGAGGUUCCUUUAAAGCACCUCCACUCCUGGAACCUUCCCUGGCUCCACUAUCGAACUGCUGGGUGGGGAUCCGUUCCUGCUAUUACCCUCUUCUACUGAGAUGGGCAGCAAGACAGGACAGCACAGCUGCUCAGCAGUUCAGAGGAUGGGGAAGUUCCAGCAAGGAAAAGCAAGAAGCUCCCGAGGAGACAGGUCGUUCAAUAUUCUAGUCUAGAAGAUCAGAGACCGAAGCUGGCAUCCUGUGUUGCUGGAUUGAGGAACUAGUACUGAAUUUUGCACCUCAGCUCUACCACAACCCAGUCCCAUCUGAACAUGGCAAAUACUUCAUCCAAAAGAAUACUGUCGAUAAAAAAAAAAUCUAAGCAAUGACAUAACCCCAGAUAUAUAAAUCCCAGCAUAAGAAUCAUGGAAAACCAAGGCUAUGUUAAAUCUUGUAAAAAUUACUAAUCCUACAGCAUUCUCCCCAAUCUUAAUAAGUUAGAUUAUAUGCUAAUAAAGUCUUCAAAGAAUUCAAUCCCA
rnacentral:lncRNA from 1 species